AUGAGCAGUGGCGGAGCUAGCCGAAAAUCACUAGGGGGCGAAACACAAGUCUUCAGUGUUUGGGGGCGGGGGAGCCGGUGCUUAAAUUUUGUCCACAUAUUUAUGGCUGAAGCCCACACAUACAUACUCAUGGAUUUGAUUUUGCGCUAUGCCCUUGUGAACAAUCAAGCUAUCAGGGAGUCGAUUGAGGACCAAAUGGGUAUCUUGUCGCUCAUCUCCGGCAAGUCAGGCGUCAGUCUGUCCAUGGCGGAGAAGAGAAUGCUGCCGGGCUCACCGUCCUCGUCACAGUGCAUGGAGUUUAUCGUGAUGGCCCUUUUGAGUCUCCCCUGUCUGUUCGAACUUCAACAGAAAGCUAACCAAAGAUUAACAGGCAUGAUAUGGUCAGCGUAUUGUGAUGUUAGCAUGCCCCCUGAAGGACUGCGGGAGUUCUUGCCACGCUUAAUACAAACUUUGGUGUCAAACAUGGUCUACACUGACGAUGACGAAUCACUUGUUGAUGCUGAGGUGUGGGCAACCCGUCGCUUUAGGGAGAUGGCGGUCCCUUUGACGGCCUCCGGGCUCGGCUCAAUGAUUGGGAUCGGUCAUCGUUGGUGGCGGCGAAGGUGGUAUGGAGUUUUGACCAUGGAAGAGCCCGUACAACUCAGAAGGCAAAGUUGGGAAGCUCCUACAAAGUGGAUCUACCGCGUGCUGCUCCUGUCCCCUCUCCCUCAAUUCAUCCUCAUGGAUCUGACAAGUGAGCGACGGAGGCUGUAUAUCAUGAGGUCGUUCGGCAUGGAUAGGGCUCGUCAUGCGGCGCCGUCCUCCCGACCUCCUUCCCAUCAUAGCCUUAUGGGAAUUGGCUUACAAAAAGUUUAUCUUCGCUUGGAAUUGGUGGAAGCGAUCUUAUCCCCCAUUUUCUUUCUCUAUGUUCUGUUUCCUAAGCAACAUAAGUGUAACGUGAAAGGGGCCCCUCCUACCUGGCACCGCCCAGCUUCGUCUCAGGUGGUGGCGCCCCAACCACUAGUAAAGCAUCAAUCCGGAACCCAUCGCUGCAGCCAACCAUCACCGUCCGCCUGGCAUAUCGAGAGAGGAGGAGGACGAGGCGCACAAGAUGGAGGCGAUGGCGGCCUCGGCCUGAAGCACAUGGAGAUUACACGAUUGAUCAUGGAGUUUAUAUGUGUUCGAGAUCCUGGCGGCCCUCGCUGCCGUGUACACAUGGGAGGGAAUUCUACCGAUAGUGACAUGAUGAAGACUUGA
rnacentral:rRNA from 1 species